rnacentral:rRNA from 1 species
AUUGAACGCUGGCGGCAGGCUUAACACAUGCAAGUCGAGCGGAGCGGCGGACGCGUGCGUGAUGCCUAGGAAUCUGCCCGUUCGCGGGGGCUAGCGUCCGGUACUGGGCGCUAAUACCGCAUCCUAUCAGAUUAGCCUCGGUCGGAUUAGCAAGUUGGUGUGGUAAAGGCACACAAAGGCCACGAUCCGUAACUGGUCUGAGAGGAUGAUCAGGCACACUGGAACUGAGACACGGUCCAGACUCCUACGGGAGGCAGCAGUGGGGAAUAUUGGACAAUGGGCGAAAGCCUGAUCCAGCCAUGCCGCGUGUGUGAAGAAGGUCUUCGGGUUGUAAAGCACUUUAAGUUGGGAGGCGUUACCUGCAGAAUAAGCACCGGCUAACUACGUGCCAGCAGCCGCGGUAAUAC